CGGCGGACGGGUGAGUAAUGCCUAGGAAUCUGCCUGGUAGUGGGGGACAACGUUUCGAAAGGAACGCUAAUACCGCAUACGUCCUACGGGAGAAAGCAGGGACCUUCGGGCCUUGCGCUAUCAGAUGAGCCUAGGUCGGAUUAGCUAGUUGGUGAGGUAAUGGCUCACCAAGGCGACGAUCCGUAACUGGCUGAGAGGAUGAUCAGUCACACUGGAACUGAGACACGGUCCAGACUCCUACGGGAGGCAGCAGNG
rnacentral:rRNA from 1 species